UACGGAGGGUGCAAGCGUUAUCCGGAUUCACUGGGUUUAAAGGGUGCGUAGGUGGACUGGUAAGUCCGUGGUGAAAUCCCCAAGCUUAACUUGGGAACUGCCGUGGAUACUAUUAGUCUUGAAUACUGUGGAGGUAAGCGGAAUAUGUCAUGUAGCGGUGAAAUGCUUAGAUAUGACAUAGAACACCGAUAGCGGAGGCAGCUUGCUACACAGUCAUUGACACUGAGGCACGAAAGCGUGGGGAGCAAACAGG
rnacentral:rRNA from 1 species